AAAAGCCUACGGGGGGCAGCAGUGGGGAAUAUUGCACAAUGGGCGCAAGCCUGAUGCAGCGACGCCGCGUGCGGGAUGGAGGCCUUCGGGUUGUAAACCACUUUUGUAGAGAACGAAAAGACACCUUCGAAUAAAGGGUGUUGCUGACGGUACUCUAAGAAUAAGCACCGGCUAACUACGUGCCAGCAGCCGCGGUAAUACGUAGGGUGCGAGCGUUAAUCGGAAUUACUGGGCGUAAAGGGUGCGCAGGCGGUUGAGUAAGACAGAUGUGAAAUCCCCGAGCUUAACUCGGGAAUGGCAUAUGG
rnacentral:rRNA from 1 species